CCUACGGGUGGCAGCAGUGAGGAAUAUUGGUCAAUGGGCGCUAGCCUGAACCAGCCAAGUAGCGUGAAGGAUGACUGCCCUCUGGGUUGUAAACUUCUUUUAUAUGGGAAUAAAGUGCAGUAUGUAUACUGCUUUGCAUGUACCUUAUGAAUAAGGAUCGGCUAACGCCGCGCCAGCAGCCGCGGUAAUACAGAGGAUCCGAGCGUUACCCGGAUUUAUUGGGUUAAACGGGAGCGUAGGCGGGUUGUUAUGUCAGUGGUAAAAUCGCGGGGCUCAACCUCGCUCCGCCGUUGAAACUGGCGUUCUUGAGUGGGCGAGAAGUAUGCGGAAGUCGUGGUGAAGCGGUGAAAUGCAUAGAUAUCACGAAGAACUCCGAUGGCGAAGGCAGCAUACCGGCGCCCAACUGACGCUGAAGCACGAAAGCGUGGGUAUCGAACAGGAUUAGAUACCCCUGUAGUC
rnacentral:rRNA from 1 species